rnacentral:rRNA from 1 species
CCUACGGGAGGCAGCAGUGAGGAAUAUUGGUCAAUGGACGCAAGCCUGAACCAGCCAUGCCGCGUGCGGGAAGACGGCUCUACGAGUUGUAAACCGCUUUUGUACGAGGGCAAACGCAGAUACUCGUACCUGUCUGAAAGUAUCGUACGAAUAAGGAUCGGCUAACUCCGUGCCAGCAGCCGCGGUAAUACGGAGGAUUCAAGCGUUAUCCGGAUUUAUUGGGUGUAAAGGGUGCGUAGGCGGUCGGAUAAGUUAGAGGUGAAAUCCCGAGGCUCAACUUCGGAAGUGCCUCUGAUACUGUUCGGCUAGAGAGUAGUUGCGGUAGGCGGAAUGUGCGGUGUAGCGGUGAAAUGCUUAGAGAUCGUGCAGAACACCGAUUGCGAAGGCAGCUUACCGGGCUACUUCUGACGUUGAGGCACGAAAGCGUGGGGAGCGAACAGGAUUAGAUACCCCUGUAGUC